rnacentral:rRNA from 1 species
CAGCAGCCGCGGUAACACGUAGGGUGCGAGCGUUAAUCGGAAUUACUGGGCGUAAAGCGUGCGCAGGCGGUUGUGUAAGACAGGUGUGAAAUCCCCGGGCUUAACCUGGGAACUGCGCUUGUGACUGCACAGCUAGAGUAUGGCAGAGGGGGGUGGAAUUCCACGUGUAGCAGUGAAAUGCGUAGAGAUGUGGAAGAACACCGAUGGCGAAGGCAGCCCCCUGGGUCAAUACUGACGCUCAUGCACGAAAGCGUGGGGAGCAAACAGGAUUAGAUACCCCAGUAGUCCCUGUCUCUUAUAC